CGAGAUGUAGUUCAGUUGGUUAGAAUGCUGGUCUGGGGGACCAGUGGUCGGGCGUUCGAGUCGCCUCAUCUCGACAA
rnacentral:tRNA from 1 species